ACACGCAUGACACACUGCAUAUCAAUAAGCGGAGGAAAAGGAACUAACAAGGAUUCCCCUAGUAACGGCGAGUGAAGCGGGAAGAGCUCAAAUUUGAAAUCUUCAAGGUUCUACCUUGACGAAUUGUAGUUUUAUAGAAGUGUUUUCUGUUAGUAGGAGUGGCAAAAGUUCUUUGGAAUAGGACAUCAUAGAGGGUGAGAAUCCCGUAUUUGGUCAUUCCUCCUAGCGUUGUGAUACACUUUCAACGAGUCGGAUUGUUUGGGAAUGCAGUCCAAAAUGGGUGGUAAAUUUCAUCUAAAGCUAAAUAUUGGCGAGAGACCGAUAGCGAACAAGUACCGUGAGGGAAAGAUGAAAAGAACAUUUGAAAAGAGAGUUAAACAGUACGUGAAAUUGUCAAAAGGGAAGCGUUUGACACCAGUGUUGUUUUUCCGAAAAUCAAUUACGAAUGUUUUAGUUUUUGAGGAGUUAUGACUUCAUCGGCUUGCUCCUUUCUUUAUGAAACUUUCUUAAUGCACUUUUCGGUUAACAAGUCAACAUCAAUUUCUUUUGCUGUAAAAGGGUAUGAGGAAGGUGGCUUUAAUUUCGGUUAAAGUGUUUAUAGCCUUUUACCUCUGCAGUCGGAGAGAUUGAGGCCAGCAGCGUAGACUCCUUCUGGGGUUAGAUACACUUGUGCUAAGCUAUAGCCUUGUAUAGACAACUUGUUGACUAUGCUCAGUCAUGUAGCUUACUCGCUUGUGCUAUUUUACCUACGCUUAGGAUGUUGAGUCGUAGAGCACGCAG
rnacentral:rRNA from 1 species